GUGGAUCAGGUGAUGAUUAGAUGCAUAGUUCAAAUGAAAAUAUGUGAUUACACAUUUGAAAUUAGUCUUUCGCUUCUAUCUGAUGAUUCCA
rnacentral:snoRNA from 1 species